CUUAAAGUUGAAAGCUGCUUGAUUGAAAACAGCUAGCAAUAGGUCCCAAAUAGUUAAUGGUUUGGUUAUGGGUAUUAUACCGACCUCUUGUUUAUGUCAACUACGUAAUAGAAUCCUAGUCACCUUGGCUUUUGGGUCUCCAUUAGUUCCUGAUUUGUUUCGGGAUUUCAUAUUGGUUAUUAUAGAAUAUAUAUAUGGCAGUGUGAAAGAAGUUUUAAGAUUGCUGAAAAAAGAUUGUGGGCACAUGUAGAUUCACAGGUGCGACUCUAUGGUUUAUGUUACCUCUCGGUGAUUGUGGACACAUGUAGCUCUACUUCAGCCUCUUCAAGACUUCAACCCUAAGUAAAGUAUCACUAUAAUUGAUAGAGUUGCAACUGUGAAG